rnacentral:lncRNA from 1 species
UCCACAACUGAGUGUUAUGUUGACUAAUAGGAUUUAGUCUGAUCAGGUAUAGGUUUUUUUUCUUUUAUUUUUUCUUUUUUUUUUUUUGUUUGCUUGUUUGUUUUAUAUUUUUCUGACUUGAUUCAGAGUUCUAAAUCUUUUCCUUUUUUCACUUUAAAAGGAAACCUCGCAACAGAUAAAAAUCAUCUCAAUAAACAACCCACUUGUUUUCCUGAAUGCAAAGAAAUUUAGUGCUGAUUUGAUGAAAAUAAUCCUAAAGGAAAGUGACAGCAACCAACCACUUGAUGAUGUCAGCAAGGUAGGCAUCCUAGCUUCAUGACAUGUGUAAUAGUGAAAAUAUCACUAAAAAUAUCCACAGGUAAACAACGACAGAGUUUAGAUAUUCUUAUAGACCUGUUCAUCAGAAAAACCCUUAAUAUUGUAUAUCUGCCUAUUCAUUUACAAUAUAACCCGUGUAUAGGACAAUAUUUAAUAUCACUUAAGAAAUUUGUUCAUCAUGGACCUAAAAUAAAUAUGUGAUAGCCUAGUUCUUCAGAAUAGGAAGCUUGAUAAACAGCUCCAUAGAAGUAUAAGCAGUUGUUAUUGACAUUAUAACCUUAUUACACAAUUUUCCUUCCUUCCCUUCCUCCUUCUUUUCCUUUUCUUCCUUUCCUAACUUCUCCUUUAUUUUUCUUUUUUAAAUCAAGACAGGGUCUCCCUAUCUAGUUUAUGACUUUUCUGCCCCAUUUUCCCAAGUGCUUGGAUUAUAGAUGUGUACCAUGUCCUGACUAAUAUUCAGCUUUUCUUUAUUUCUGUAAGAAACCUUGGUGACCAGAGGCACCGAAUCAGAUGUGCACCGGAAUGAACCAGUGUGAAUGUGUAAUUUGCCCUUGAGCCCUCAAGUCCAGAGCCACUCACCAGCUGUGGGAAUUUAGAUGAAUGAGCCUGUGUUUCAGGGUCCUCAUUUGUAACAAUGAGGAUUCAAAUAGUUAAAAUAUGCAAACCACUUAGAAUAGUGCUGGAAUCAAUCCUGAGUUCUGUGUAGUCUUAGCUAAUGUGGUUCAUUAGGUUGACUGUCUUUCUCAUG